GCGCCCAUAGCUCAGUGGUUAGAGCAGGGGACUCAUAAUCCCUUGGUCGCAGGUUCAAAUCCUGCUGGGCGCA
rnacentral:tRNA from 3 species